GUCUGGAUGGCUCAGUUGUCAGAGCAUCUGCCUAGAAAGCAGGAGACCUAGGUUCGAAUCCUGGUCUGGCACA